CAAAUUAUUGAUUACAUUUAUUUUGUAUUUAAAAUUUAGAGUUUUAAAAUAUAAGUUUAGAGUAUAUGUAAUAUGAUUUUGGGUAUGGUAUAUAUUUAAGUUUAGGGUUAGAGUAUUAGAUUUGAGAUUUGAAAUUAAAAUUAAUUUUUUUAAAUUAAAAAAAAAUAGAAUUUUAAGAAUUUUAGUUAGAGUUUAGGGGAUGUGAUUAAUUUAGGGUAUGAUAUAUAUAAGUAUAUAAUUUAGGGUUUGAGGCUUAGAUUUAUAAUUAAAAUAAGAAAAUGCUUGAGCUUUAGGGUUCUGUUUUAAGUUUAGGGUAUAAGAUUUAUGGUUUAGCUUGGGUUUAGGUUUUUUUGGAGGGUUGAGAAACGAAACGGAAUGAGAGGGAAGUGAAAAACGAGGAUGAGAGGGAAAAUGAAAAAGAUUAGACACUUGUUUUU
rnacentral:lncRNA from 1 species